AGGUGGUUUCUUAUUGGCUCAUGUCAAACAAACCCACUUAUGUCUCUGCGAUAUUUGAAAUAGAACAUAGAUAUAGAAAACUGAAAAGAUGGAAGAACUGGAGAGUCUAUUACUCUAGUAUUUUCUGUGCACACAACACAAGCAGGAAAGAGUGAAGAGAUACAUGCUGAAUUUGUUUAUUUUAAAGUGCCUGGGUGUUACAGGUUCUAGUUUAAUUAGACUGUAAAGAAUAGAACUAGAUGCAAGUAUAAUUUCUGACAGUUUUUUCCCCCACAGAGAUGGAGUUUGCUUGCAGUCAUGUUGUGUGUAACUGGAGGUCGGAGAGCUUAUCAGAAGAUGAAGCUAAAGUCUCAAAUCAAGGUUGUUCCUCCACGCUUCCCUGUGGUCUAUCCAGAGCUCAGUCCGAUCAUCCUUACGACAACCGCGUUACCUUUGUUCAGAAACCAGGUCUGCUUGCAGAGGGGGCACUGACAGUGCUUCACUGAGUCCCAGUAGUGGCCGAUGCAGGUCAUGCAGAAGUUGUGGCCACAUGGCGUGGACACCGGAUUGUCAAACACGUCUAAGCAGAUGGAGCACAGCAGCUGCUCUUCAGACAGGAAGCUUCGCGAGAAUGGCAUGGCUGUGCAGAGGGACGGCAAAAAAUGCACAGAGGAGACAAGGAAAAAUGGCAAUGAGGCGAAAAUGCAAAAAUGAAAGGAAAUGUAAAGCUUUAAAUUUUCGUUUUGGUUAUUUUAGCACAUAAGGUCACUAAAUGAAAAUAAUGUAAUCACAAAUGGCUGAAAUAAAAUCAAAUAAAUAUUUUAUUUUAUUUCAUUUUAGACUCGAGCAUUUUGCACAACAGCAAACACAAGUAGAAUAUCAUCACAACACAUUGUGUCAAUAAGAAAGCUGUGAGAAUAGAAGCAGGUACUAAAACUAGAACUAAUAUGCAACAAUAAAACAAAAAUCAACUAGGGUUGUUAUGCAAACAACUGUUCAGUUGUCAAUAUUCACAAAGCAACCUAUAGAAUGACUGGAUCAGUGAAUGUUUGUAUUAAUAAUCCAGGAUCGGGGUUAGUCUCAUUGAGAUGAUUUCAAAUGUUUUAAAUCUCACUAAACUGGACAGAUUAUGAAAAUGCUGUUCUCGCCUCUAAUCAGCAGUUUCACACUGGAAUGAGGCACUACUGGCUAAAGUGUCUUCUUCAGUGUUAUGUUCCUUCCUUAGCUGCCAGUUAUCUUAGUCCUGUGGAGCAGCUUAGUGGGUUCUGGGA